UACGUAGGUGGCAAGCGUUGUCCGGAUUUACUGGGCGUAAAGAGCGCGCAGGCGGUCGUGCAAGUCGCGUGUGAAAGCCCCCGGCUCAACUGGGGAGGGUCAUUCGAUACUGUUCGACUUGAAGGCAGGAGAGGGCAGCAGAAUUCCCGGUGUAGUGGUGAAAUGCGUAGAUAUCGGGAGGAAUACCAGUGGCGAAGGCGGCUGCCUGGCCUGUUCUUGACGCUGAGGCGCGAAAGCCAGGGGAGCAAACGGG
rnacentral:rRNA from 1 species